GCCGCGAUAGCUCAGUUGGUAGAGCGCAUCCAUGGUAAGGAUGAGGUCACCGGUUCAAGCCCGGUUCGCGGCUCCA
rnacentral:tRNA from 1 species